rnacentral:tRNA from 1 species
AAUGUAGUGCCUGAUAAAAGGGCUAUCUUGAUAGGAUAGAUUAUGUAAAGUUAUUUACCUGCAUUA